rnacentral:rRNA from 1 species
AUACGAAUGGGGCAAGCGUUGUUCGGAAUAACUGGGCUUAAAGCGUCCGCAGGCGGUCCGUAAAGUCAGAAGUGAAAUCCCAGAGCUUAACUCUGGAACUGCUUUUGAAACUCACGGACUAGAAUAUUGGAGAGGUUGGGAGAAUUCCUAGUGUAGAGGUGAAAUUCGCAGAUAUUAGGAGGAAUACCAGUGGCGUAGGCGCCCAACUGGACAAUUAUUGACGCUCAGGGACGAAGGCGUGGGGAGCAAACAGGAUUAGAAACCCCAGUAGUCC